ACUCUUUUCUCCUUUUAUUUAGCAGAACUUAAAAAAUACAGCACAAUCACAACCAAAUACAAUUACGAAAAACACAUUUAAUGUGACUUGUGAUAUGAAACAUAAAUCUUCAGUUCGUAAAAUAACAAUGUGGAAAUCGCAUUAGCGACAUUUGUUUUUAUUGGAUAAAAAAAGAAUUACUAUACGACAGUAUAGACAAAUAGACAGUAUAAACAAUGAACAUAAAUGCGCAGAUGCAGAGAAAUAUCGUUGGAGAACAUAAAUACGUAUGUGUGAUAAAAUCGUCGUCAACCCCACAAGUUACUUUAUUUUUUUUAUUCAAAAAUUGAUUCAUUUCGUUAAACUUUUAAGUAGCAUAUUCAGAAUCAAAUAUUCAUAAAUUACUUAUGUUAUACAAAAUGUCUAUCAUCUAAAACUAAUGUCAACAAAUAAAAGUGUGUCUAUUUGCUACUCUACUAAAACAGUUGAUUAUAUGGACAACAAAAACUUUGUUAGUACGUUCUACGUUUCUGCAGGUUCUCCCAAGUUUGUAAAAUGUCAGCAGAAAAUUGGACUUAGGAGAAAACAGAGAUUAUGUAGUGUUCUUUAACUUUAGUGCUAUGGAUAAAUAAGGGAGGCGUUAAUUGUGACAAGGGAGGCGUUAAUUGUGACAAGGGAG